AUGGCUCAGUGAGGCCUUGGGACUGGCUCAGAGAGGUCGGCAACGACCACUCAGAGCCGGAAACUUGGUCAAACUUGGUCAUUUAGAGGAAGUAAAAGUCGUAACAAGGUUUCCGUAGGUGAACCUGCGGAAGGAUCAUUAACGAGUUAGGGUCUCCUAGGCCCGACCUCCCAACCCUUUGUUUAAUAGACCUCUGUUGCUUCGGCGGACCCGUCUCACUGACCGCCGGAGGACCGCCUAUCCGGCGUCCUCUGGCCAGUGUCCGCCGACAGCCUAUCUUCUUAACUCUGGAACAACCGUGACAUGUGUCUAAGUGAAUUUAUUCAAUUAAAAGCAAAAACUUUCAACAACGGAUCUCUUGGUUCUGGCAUCGAUGAAGAACGCAGCGAAAUGCGAUAAGUAAUGCGAAUUGCAGAAUUCCAGUGAGUCAUCGAAUCUUUGAACGCACAUUGCGCCCUUUGGUAUUCCGAAGGGCAUGCCUGUUCGAGCGUCAUUAUCACCCCCUCAAGCCUUGUGCUUGGUGUUGGACGGUAUGGUGGACUCCUUCACCCGUCCUAAAGACAAUGACGGCGGCCUCGCGGAACCCCCGGUACACUGAGCUUCUUAACUGAGCACGUAUCGGAUCAAGGGCGCCCGGGGCACGGUCCUCUUCCCCUCGGGGAAAAUUUUCUCAAGGUUGACCUCGGAUCAGGUAGGAAUACGCGCUGAACUUAAGCAUAUCAAUAAGCGCAGGAAAAGAAACCAACAGGGAUUGCCUCAGUAACGGCGAGUGAAGCGGCAACAGCUCAAAUUUGAAAUCUGGCCUCUUGGGGUCCGAGUUGUAAUUUGUAGAGGAUGUUUCGGGUACCGCCUCGGUUUAAAUUUCUUGGAACAGAAUGUCAAAGAGGGUGAGAAUCCCGUCUUGGACCGGUGGUAGGGCCUAUGUGAAACUCCUUCGACGAGUCGAGUUGUUUGGGAAUGCAGCUCAAAAUGGGUGGUAAAUUUCAUCUAAAGCUAAAUAUUGGCCAGAGACCGAUAGCGCACAAGUAGAGUGAUCGAAAGAUGAAAAGCACUUUGAAAAGAGAGUUAAACAGUAUGUGAAAUUGUUGAAAGGGAAGCGCUUGCAACCAGACUUGAGCGCGGCGGUUCCCCCUUGCUUCUGCUUGGGCUACUCCGCCGUGUCCAGGCCAACAUCGGUUCUGGGGGUCGGUUAAAGGCCUUGGGAAUGUAUCUACUCACGGGUAGACUUAUAGACCAGGGUGUCAUGCGACCUCCCGGGACCGAGGAACGCGCUUCGGCUCGGAUGUUGGCGUAAUGGUUGUCAGCGACCCGUCUUGAAACACGGACCAAGGAGUCUAACAUCUAUGCGAGUGUUUGGGUGUCAAACCCGGAACGCGGAAUGAAAGUGAACGGAGGUAGGAAGCUUCGGCUGCACUAUCGACCGAUCCUGAAGUUUACGGAUGGAUUUGAGUAAGAGCAUAGCUGUUGGGACCCGAAAGAUGGUGAACUAUGCCUGAAUAGGGUGAAGCCAGAGGAAACUCUGGUGGAGGCUCGCAGCGGUUCUGACGUGCAAAUCGAUCGUCAAAUUUGGGUAUAGGGGCGAAAGACUAAUCGAACC
rnacentral:rRNA from 1 species